rnacentral:rRNA from 1 species
AUGUUAAUCAGGGUAGGGUAAGUCGACCCCUAAGGCGAGGCCGAAAGGCGUAGUCGAUGGGAAACAGAUUAAUAUUUCUGUACUCGAUAUAAUUGCGAUGGGGGGACGGAGCAGGCUAAGCAAGCAUGGCGUUGGUAGUCCAUGUGAAAGUGAGUAGGGCGUUUGUUUAGGUAAAUCCGGACGAACACUAAACCUGAGACACGAGACGAGUCACUAAGGUGAUGAAGUUGCUGAUGCCAUACUUCCAGGAAAAGCCUCUAAGCUUCAGAUUAUAUGGAAUCGUACCCCAAACCGACACAGGUGGUCAGGUAGAGAAUACUAAGGCGCUUGAGAGAACUCGGGUGAAGGAACUAGGCAA